rnacentral:lncRNA from 1 species
GCAUGUUUAAAAAUCAUUUUGACUAAAGUAAAUAUGCAUGAUUUAAAAUCAUUUAGCAUUAAAUUAAAUAUGCAUGAUUUUGUAAAAAAUAAUUUUACAGGAGAAGCCAUGUCAUGAGUCAAGUUGUCGGAUCAAGAUCACAGUUAAGAACGACUCAUGUAAAACUAUAAAACUUGGUCUUGUGCUUGAAUCUCGUUAUAUAUCAAUUGUGCGCUUGUACUUGAACUUCGUCAUAUAUCAAUUUUCGCAUCGUUUGUCAUUCAUCAAAACCUACACAUAUGAACACGUUUUAGUAUAAUGCUUUGAGAACG